GGCGAUUCAGUCGCGUGUCCUAGACCCGAAGCGAAGUGAUCUAUCCAUGGCCAGGUUGAAGCGACGGUAAGACGUCGUGGAGGACCGAACCCACUUAGGUUGAAAACUGAGGGGAUGAGCUGUGGAUAGGGGUGAAAGGCCAAUCAAACUUCGUGAUAGCUGGUUCUCUCCGAAAUGCAUUUAGGUGCAGCGUUGCGUGUUUCUUGCCGGAGGUAGAGCUACUGGAUGGCCGAUGGGCCCUACAAGGUUACUGACGUCAGCCAAACUCCGAAUGCCGGUAAGUGAGAGCGCAGCAGUGAGACUGUGGGGGAUAAGCUUCAUAGUCGAGAGGGAAACAACCCAGACCACCAACUAAGGUCCCAAAGCGCGUGCUAAGUGGGAAAGGAUGUGGAGUUGCCUUGACAACCAGGAGGUUGGCUUAGAAGCAGCCACCCUUGAAAGAGUGCGUAAUAGCUCACUGGUCAAGUGAUUCCGCGCCGACAAUGUAACGGGGCUCAAGCACGCCACCGAAGUUGUGGCAUUGACAUUAUUGGUAGGCCUUCGUGGUCCAGCCGUGUUGAUGGGUAGGAGAGCGUCGUGUGGCCAGCGAAGCGGCGGUGUGAACCAGCCGUGGAGGCUACACGAGUGAGAAUGCAGGCAUGAGUAGCGAAAGACAUGUGAGAAACAUGUCCUCCGAAAGACCAAGGGUUCCAGGGUCAAGCUAAUCUUCCCUGGGUAAGUCGGGACCUAAGGCGAGGCCGACAGGCGUAGUCGAUGGACAACGGGUUGAUAUUCCCGUACCGGCGAAGAACCGCCCAUACUGAUCUUGCGAUGCUAACCACCCCAGACAUUCCAUCGUGUUCCUUCGGGAACGCACCGGUUUGCGAGGCGUGGGACCCGAGCUUGAAAGGUAAGCGUAUUAACAGGUGUGACGCAGGAAGGUAGCCGGGCCAGGCAAUGGAAUUGACCUGGUCUAAGGGUGUAGGGCGUUUCGUAGGCAAAUCCGCGAAACAUAUAGCCUGAGACCUGAUGGGCGCCCCUUUAGGGGGGUGAUCCGGUGAUCCUAUGCUGCCAAGAAAAGCAUCGACGCGAGGUUCUAGCCGCCCGUACCCCAAACCGACUCAGGUGGUCAGGUAGAGAAUACCAAGGAGAUCGAGAGAAUCGUGGUUAAGGAACUCGGCAAAAUGCCCCCGUAACUUCGGGAGAAGGGGGGCCAUCCACUUAUUAGGACUUGCUCCGAAAGGGUGUGGUGGCCGCAGAGACUAGUGGGUAGCGACUGUUUACUAAAAACACAGGUCCGUGCCAAGUCGCAAGACGAUGUAUACGGACUGACGCCUGCCCGGUGCUGGAAGGUUAAGAGGACCGGUUAGCCGCAAGGCGAAGCUGAGAAUUUAAGCCCCAGUAAACGGCGGUGGUAACUAUAACCAUCCUAAGGUAGCGAAAUUCCUUGUCGGGUAAGUUCCGACCUGCACGAAUGGCGUAACGACUUCCCAACUGUCUCAACCGCGAACUCGGCGAAAUUGCAUUACGAGUAAAGAUGCUCGUUACGCGCAGCAGGACGGAAAGACCCCGUGACCUUUA
rnacentral:rRNA from 1 species